rnacentral:rRNA from 1 species
UACGUAGGGUGCAAGCGUUAAUCGGAAUUACUGGGCGUAAAGCGUGCGCAGGCGGUGAUGUAAGACAGUUGUGAAAUCCCCGGGCUCAACCUGGGAACUGCAUCUGUGACUGCAUUGCUGGCGUGCGGCAGAGGGGGAUGGAAUUCCGCGUGUAGCAGUGAAAUGCGUAGAUAUGCGGAGGAACACCGAUGGCGAAGGCAAUCCCCUGGGCCUGCACUGACGCUCAUGCACGAAAGCGUGGGGAGCAAACAGG